rnacentral:rRNA from 1 species
UACGUAGGGGGCAAGCGUUGUCCGGAAUCAUUGGGCGUAAAGAGCGUGUAGGCGGCCCGAUAAGCGUGUGGUGAAAGCCUGGGGCUCAACCCCAGGUCUGCCGUGCGAACUGACGAGCUUGAGCAUAGUAGAGGCAGGCGGAAUUCCGGGUGUAGCGGUGGAAUGCGUAGAUAUCCGGAAGAACACCGGUGGCGAAGGCGGCCUGCUGGGCUAUUGCUGACACUGAGGCACGACAGCGUGGGGAGCAAACAGG